GACAGAGGCCUCAAGCGUUAGGCGGAAUCACUGGGCUUAAAGCGUGUGUAGGCGGAUCGUUAAGUGUCUUGUGAAAUCCCACGGCUCACCCGUGGAACUGCUGGGCAUACUGGCGAUCUUGGGCCAACUAGGGGCAACUGGAACAAGCGGUGGAGCAGUGAAAUGCGUAGAUAUCGCUUGGAACGCCAAAGGUGAAAACAGGUUGCUGGGGUUGUGCCGACGCUGAGACACGAAAGCCAGGGGAGCAAACGGG
rnacentral:rRNA from 1 species